AUGCGCUCGUGGCCAGCAUCGAGUCCCUCUCGGAGCAGCAGUGGGCGCUCAUCCGGCUCGUCGGGCUGCUCUUCGUGGUCCGGGCGGCCGCCUCCGCCAGGAGCCGCGCGCACCUCCUCCCCGGCCUGCUCCUCGCGGCCGUCUCGGCGGCUGUGGUCGUGUACGUCUCCACGGGCGGCGCCGUGGUGCCGGGGUUCAGGAGCUUCGUCCGGUUCUCCCUCCUGA
rnacentral:rRNA from 1 species